rnacentral:rRNA from 1 species
GAUGAACGCUGACAGAAUGCUUAACACAUGCAAGUCUUUGGCGAAGCUGUGCUUGCACCGCCUAGCCAAGGCGGACGGGUGAGUAACGCGUAAGGAACUUGCCCUGCAGUCAGGGAUAACAGACGGAAACGACUGAUAAGACCUGGUAAAGUCAGGCGGACUCAUGUCCAGCCUGAUGAAAAGAGAUGCUGCAGGAGAGCCUUGCGUCCUAUUAGCUUGUUGGUGGGGUAACGGCCCACCAAGGCGAUGAUAGGUAGCCGGCCUGAGAGGGUGGACGGCCACAAGGGGACUGAGAUACGGCCCUUACUCCUACGGGAGGCAGCAGUGGAGAAUAUUGGACAAUGGGGGCAACCCUGAUCCAGCAAUUCUGUGUGCACGAUGAAGGUUUUCGGAGUGUAAAGUGCUUUCAGCAGGGAAGAAAAAAAUGACGGUACCUGCAGAAGAAGCGACGGCUAAAUACGUG